AAACGUUCAUGGAAUGACGCGUGAGAGGUUAAUCCGAGGUGGUUCCCGCUGAGGGAAUCUUUUGUUGAGCUCUAAAAUGGCCAGUGAAUAAGGGGAGGGCAAGUCUGGUGUCAGCCGCCGCGGUUGUACCAACUCCGCUAGUGGUCGGGGCGAGUAUUGGGCCGAAAGCAUCCGUAACCUGUUCUGUAGGUCUUCUGUUAAAUCCAACGGCGUAACCGUUGGCCUGCCUAAGAUACCGCAGGACUAGGAGGCGGGAGAGGUGGACGGUACUCCACUUGUAGGGGUAAAAUCCUGUGAUGCCUGCUGCAUUACUGAUGCCGACAGCGCGCGAGGAGAACCGGUUCGACGGUUGGGGACUAAAGCUGGGGGACCCAAACUGAUUCGAUGACCUCGGUCGUUCGGAUGCGAACGAUGCGAGCUAGCUGAUCCAAUCGCAGAUCUACAUUGAAGUGUCGCACGGAAGCCGUUAACCUCGCCGACUGCGGAGUACGGUCUCAGCCUGGGC
rnacentral:rRNA from 1 species